GACAGAAAAGCAAGAGAGGGAUCCGAGGAGUGCCGACCAGAGAGGCAGUUCAUGUAGCCUCAUUAGUAAAGCCCCCAGGGGCUGUGACUGUCCUGCGCGGGCUUCCAAGUCCACCUGAGAGUUCUGAUGCUGUGCUGACCCCAUGGCACAUCAGGGGCAGCGAGCCUGCUGUCCACACUGGCUGGGAGAAGCAGCAGCCAGGCAAGAGAACAACAAACAGGGGCAGGCAGCCACCCACCAAGAGGACAUGUGGAACCAGGCAGCACGCCAUUUGGAAAGCAAGUCUAUAUGGGAGUGGUCACUAUCAUGGAAAGGAAAAAGAAUGGGAAAACCUGAGAUUUAAGAAAGACCCAAUGCUGUUCUAGAAGCAUCUUCAGAAAGAGCAAUAAAGCUUCUUUGGGGAAGUCACAGGACACAGACUCUCCAGGGUGGAAGGGAUCUUGAAGAGCACAGAGGCCAAGUCCUCAUCCAUCUCUCGACUUCCUUCAUGACUCAUCUGAAGACGGCUGGAUUGGUCUAUGUCUGUACCCUACCCUCACCCCACAAUCCCAGUCCACCCUAUCUCAGAACAAUUUCAAAUGCAGGGGAGGAUCAGAGAUGAAGAUGUUACUCCAAAAGUAUACAUGCAAAGAUGUUCUGGAAGUGCUACUUCUUAACUUGUCUGGUCUUAUAGUCUGUGGUUGAAGUGAGUUUCUCCACUUCUAGAACGCUUUAGGUCUUGUUUCCUGUCCUCUUUGAAAAGUUUUAUUAAUAAUUACGUGCUGCCCUUCUAUUACUCCUACUUUCCAUACCCUGGAAAGUAUACACGGUUCUAGAAUAUUCCAUUAGGAGGGCCAGUUUCUGUAUUACUAGUUUCCACAAGAGUUCAGCAACAAGAUUUCAAGGACUUUUCUUUUUAACGAUCUGAAAAUGAAGAAUGACUCAUCAUACUAUAGGUGCCCUGUAUAUGCUUCAAAAUAAGUGUGUUUUUUGCUCAGUUCUUGUGCCUUCUCGGACCCUCAUGACAACAAUAGGAAUAAACCUACGUAGAAAGUCUAUCUCAGUAGUAAUGAUUGGGGCAACCGAAUGGACUCGACUGACUCAUAUUUCCCACACAUCUUUAAAUUUAUAGCUGGCCUCUGACUAUUUUAGAAAGCCUAUGAUUUGAACUUCAUCCAAGUUUUAACAGCAAUAAAAUUCCACAGGAAAUGGGUUCUUUAGAAUCCAAGAAAUGCACACUUAGGCUAUUGCCUACAAUCAAAUUAUUCUGCUGUUGGAGUUGUGUUGCUGGAGAGAAGAUGAUCCCUUCUUCCCAGAAGAGGCCAUGUUUUCCCAUAUCACAACAUGCAUAGAAUUGGCACUGGUCAACACUAAACCUUCUAUAAGCAUGAUGAGGACAACUUCUGAGCAGCAUCAUCAAGCUUGCCUCUCCUGGGCCACUACAACACCUGCCUCCCACCUUGACAAGCCCUGCGUCAGGCAGGCAUCAUCCCAAUUUGGCCUUGCAAGUUGUUACACGAACAUCCUUCAAGAGUGAUGCCUGAAACAAUCAGUUGCCUUUUUGUCUCGCAAAAAGCCUUUGCUCUCAUCUCAGCUUAGAAUGUCCAUCCAUCACAGUUAGCAGGGCUGGGCCAGCACGGACCUCCAGAAUGUGCAAUGAGCUUUGUAGGCAAUUACCACUUUCUCCAAGGGCUCUGUAGGAUGAGGGUGAAGUGAAUGUCAUUGGAACGGUAGCAUUGUGGUCUAAAAGCUGCAUUCUGCCACAGAUCAACAUGAUGAAAUGUUUAAUUUAGCCUAAAAUUAUUUAUCUGUAUCACCGGCCAUGCCUCAACCACAUACCCCUCAAUAUGUAAACAACAAUAGAUUUAUCUGUUUUAUUUCUGAGAA
rnacentral:lncRNA from 1 species